rnacentral:pre_miRNA from 1 species
GUUUUUUUCAUGUCCAAUGUUUGACCAUUUAUCUUAUUUGAAAUUUUUUUAUGAUUAAUAUUUUUAUUAUUACUAGAUGAUAAAAUAUAAAUAGUAUUUUAUACAUGACUAAUUUUUUUUAGGUUUUUGUACUAAUUUUUUAAAUAAAAUAAAUAGUUAAACGUUGAAUAGAAAAAACGAAAAAUAAGAUUAUU